UAGUCCACGCCGUAAACGAUGGAUACUAGCUGUUCGGUUUUCGGACUGAGUGGCUAAGCGAAAGUGAUAAGUAUCCCACCUGGGGAGUACGUUCGCAAGAAUGAAACUCAAAGGAAUUGACGGGGCCCGCACAAGCGGUGGAGCAUGUGGUUUAAUUCGAUGAUACGCGAGGAACCUUACCAAGGCUUAAAUGUAGAUUGACAGAUUUAGAGAUAGAUUUUUCUUCGGACAAUUUACAAGGUGCUGCAUGGUUGUCGUCAGCUCGUGCCGUGAGGUGUCAGGUUAAGUCCUAUAACGAGCGCAACCCCUGUUGUUAGUUACCAGCGAGUCAAGUCGGGGACUCUAACAAGACUGCCGGUGCAAACCGUGAGGAAGGUGGGGAUGACGUCAAGUCAUCAUGCCCCUUACAUCCUGGGGCUACACACGUACUACAAUGCAACGGGACAAAGGGGCAGCCAACUAGCGAUAGUGAGCUAAUCCCAUAAACCGUUGCUCAGUUCAGAUUGCAGG
rnacentral:rRNA from 1 species